UACGAAGGGGGCUAGCGUUGCUCGGAAUUACUGGGCGUAAAGGGCGCGUAGGCGGAUGUCUAAGUUGGGGGUGAAAUCCCGGGGCUCAACCUCGGAACAGCCUUCAAUACUGGAUAUCUUGAGUUCGGGAGAGGUGAGUGGAAUGCCGAGUGUAGAGGUGAAAUUCGUAGAUAUUCGGCGGAACACCAGUGGCGAAGGCGACUCACUGGCCCGAUACUGACGCUGAGGCGCGAAAGCUAGGGGAGCAAACGGG
rnacentral:rRNA from 1 species